CCAGACUCCUACGGGAGGCAGCAGUGGGGAAUAUUGCACAAUGGGGGAAACCCUGAUGCAGCAACGCCGCGUGAGUGAAGAAGUAUUUCGGUAUGUAAAGCUCUAUCAGCAGGGAAGAAAAUGACAGUACCUGACUAAGAAGCCCCGGCUAACUACGUGCCAGCAGCCGCGGUAAUACGUAGGGGGCAAGCGUUAUCCGGAUUUACUGGGUGUAAAGGGAGCGUAGACGGCUGUGCAAGUCAGAAGUGAAAGCCCGGGGCUCAACCGCGGGACUGCUUUUGAAACUGUGUAGCUGGAGUGCAGGAGAGGUAAGUGGAAUUCCUAGUGUAGCGGUGAAAUGCGUAGAUAUUAGGAGGAACACCGGUGGCGAAGGCGGCUUACUGGACUGUAACUGACGUUGAGGCUCGAAAGCGUGGGGAGCAAACAGGAUUAGAUACCCUUGUA
rnacentral:rRNA from 1 species